GAUCUGGAAGAUAAAAGCAAUAUAUACUAUAAACUGAAAAAUUAAUUCUUGUGGGAAUUGCUGAUAAUAUAGCAGUGCCAGGCACCUACUGCCAACCAGUUAAACCUUUCCUGCUGUCAGAUGGUACUAGGAUUGUUCUCCCCAGCUGGAACAUAGGAUCACAUGACAUGUGGUGUCAGUGACAUGGACACCCCUGCUGCAGUGCACCACACACCUCCAACUUUCUCCUGUCCCAAUUUGGAUUAUUUCCAUCACUACCCAGACUCAAAAUUCUCAGAAUUAAAACAUGCCAUUAGUAGUCAGUUCACCACAGUACAGUCGGGAUGACUCAGUGCAGUUUUCUUGUCUGGCUCUUGUAUUGAGAGCCACAAAUCAGUUGGUCAGUCUCAGCUUUUGCCUCCUUGUCCCCAUAAUAUUUCCACCUGCAUAAUAAUAAUCUCCCCAUAAUAUUUCCACCACACACGGUACACAUACAUGCUCCAUGUCUUUCUGAAAGUCUCUGCACUUUGAAUAAUUACAUGCAAAUGGAGUCACCAUACCACAGACCCUUAACUAGCAUUAAAUCCUUUAAAUAUCAUUUGUAGUAGAAGAUCUUAAGAGUUAUUCUCAUUCCUCAGUGAAUUUAUCCCACAGCUAAAAUUUAUGCUUUUUUUUUCUGAAUGUGCAAUAAUAGCCUAAGCACACACUUUCAUCUGUUAACCUUAUAUUGAUGGAGACAGGACAAAGCUCACAGUGUUGAAUUCCAACCUGAGUUCAACCGGUUCAGUUCAGUGCAGAUGAAUGUACAGAGCUGGGCACUAACUCAAGCAUGAGAAAUAGGAAAUACGUGUAAAAAUAUAGGUGAUUAUGUACAAAUUACACAUAUGAAAAAUUAUAGUAGUGCAAGUCUAUCCAUCAGGAAAAUGACAGCCUAUGGAGCCCCCUUCUUUCCCAUCAGUGACAUGAACUGUCUUGUAAACAUUGUCUGACGGCUCACUAAACUGACUGCCUAUAGAGAUUCUCUUCUGAUUCAUGCUCCCAUUAAAUGGCAUAAAAAUUUUUGGAUGCAAGGAAUGUACUUGACUACCGAAUUACUUUGGCAUGAAGGAUCUCUCUGUAACAAAGAAUAAUGUCUUUUAUGCAAGACAGAGAGCUUUCCAGGAAGCAGAGUCAAUGCUGCAGACAUCAUUUGAACAGCUCUGUGUCUUUGACAAGCUCCCUAAUCCACUUCCAUUAGAAAAAAGAAAAAAUAAAAUAUAGAUUCUGACUUUCCAGAAAUGUCCAUGUACAGGAAGAGAAAGGAAAACUGGAAAUAAUGCCUGAGUCUUGUCACCUUCUGUCCCCUCAGAAAAAUUCUAUUGAAAGUAUUCAGCUACAGUGGUGUGUAGCAUGUAGGAGCUUGAAUAGAAUUUAAGAGUAUCUAUUAGUGAAUGGCACACUAAAUAAAAGAAAAUUUAUGGCCUUUCGGCCUCUAGGUCACCAGGUCAAGUCCAGCUAACACAAGCAGUGGUGGUCAUUGUUAUUUGAGGGCUUCAUGGUCAAUAUGACAUUGGCUUCUGAGCCAUGAGCUGCCACAUUAGAGCCCUUGUUCCUCACCAGGAGAUGAAGACAUGACAUUGCUUCUGCAAUCCUCUGCUCAUUUUAAUUCAAAUCACAUUAAUAUUUGAGGAUAAUAAUUAUCCUGGUAAAUGCAUGUACAUCUUGAAUGCUGCACUACCUUUCAUAUUAUGAGCAUUAGUGCUAAAAAAGGGCACAGUAAAAACACAUAUCACUUAACAAUUUCUUUUCGUUGGGGCAAAUAGUCAUGUAGGAUACAAACUAGUGGAAAAUCAGACCAUGCCUGUAAUAAAAAUUCUCAAUCAAUUGAAAGAAUUCUGGUACAUUUACCUCUAAAUAAAAAACUUGUCUGCCCUCUUUCUGCAUUAUUGAGAAAACUCUUCUCCAAAAGAACUAGAAUGGUAUAGGCAUAUAAUGCUCCCUUUUGAGAGGAACAAUCUUAAAAUACUUACUCAUUUUUUCUUGAUAUCCUCUCCUAUACAAGGAGUUUUAUACAAUGUAGUAUUUUAACAAGGAUUAUGAAUGUAUGUGAGGAGGGAAAUUCUUUUUUUUCACAAGUGAGAGACCAAAUGAACAAAGGCUAUACUGUAUUUUCUAAAAUGAAAACCGUCCUCAACUACCUGCAAUCAGGAAUACUAUUGUAAUACUGGGACUUGAUCCAUCUUCCCUCUGACAAUGACCUUUUCUGUAGUGUUUUAUGCUGCAAAAUUUUAGCAGCACUCACUUGGUAGACACUUUGCCCUACAACAGUUUUCUUGGCACUGAUUUUCAUCCUUCUACCUGCAUAUUUUGAAAUGUGUUUAGAAAUUUAUUCUUCAAUCUAUCUGUGACAGUGCUUAAAUAUGGAUUUUUGUUGUGAGUAAAAAGCGUUAUGGUCACAGUAAACUUUCAAUUUUUCCAGUGAAACUACAUUUUAUCUACAGGAGGCUAGGUGUGAGGGGGAAAUGGAGGUAGAUGAUUUUUAUUUAAAGAAAGCUUCAUUUUGCAAAUGACGGAAUUCACGCAGUUUAAAAUGAAGGCUUGAAAGGUGCGAUGUACAGGCUUGAAGACUGAACCCAAAUCCUCUAGCAGAAUCCAUCAGGUACUUCAGCACACCCAUCAGUUUUGCCACCAGUCAGUUUGGAUAUUUACAGGAUCCUAAACUACACUGGAGCAAUGGUGCUCAGAAACAGCAAAGAGGAGUCAGAAGUCUGGCCCCAUGAGGAGGUUUG
rnacentral:lncRNA from 1 species